rnacentral:rRNA from 1 species
UUCGCAAUGCCCGAAAGGGUGACGAAGCGACGCCGCGUGGGUGAGGAAGGCCUUCGGGUUGUAAAGCCCUGUCAGGAGUUAUGAAAUGUAAGUGCGCUAAUAUCGUGCUUAUUUGACAAAGGCUCCAAAGGAAGCCACGGCUAACUCUGUGCCAGCAGCCGCGGUAAUACAGAGGUGGCGAGCGUUGUUCGGAAUUAUUGGGCGUAAAGAGCACGUAGGUGGGUUUGCAAGUCAGAUGUGAAAGCCUUCUGUUCAACGGAAGAAUUGCAUCUGAUACUGCUAAUCUUGAGUAUGGGAGGGGAGAAUGGAACUUCUGGUGGAGCGGUGAAAUGCGUAGAUAUCAGAAGGAACGCCGGCGGCGAAAGCGAUUCUCUGGCCUAUUACUGACACUCAGUGUGCGAAAGCUAGGGGAGCAAACGGGAUUAGAUACCCCGGUAGUCCUAGCCGUAAACGAUGGGCACUAAGUAGAGGGGUUUUA